CAAACACCACAGAGAGCAAAGUAUAAACCAACCCUACAGAUCUGUACUGUCUUUUGUUACGAUUAUAUAUUCAGAAACUGUAACAAAAGUCAGUUUAAUGACCAGUUCCUGCUCUCUCCGAAGCACCAAACUGCUGAUUUAUUCAUUUCACCAGUCUCAAAACUAACACACAAAAUAUUAUAGACAUAAUUAGACCAUAAACAUUACACUAUUCAUCACACUAGAUACUAACACUUUAUAUUUAUACCAGAAAUAGACACCAGAAUAUUUAUACUGAAACAUGACACAUGUAACAAGUGCCUUAUCUCGUCCUUCACCUUAAAGGAUACGAUUCACUCGGAAUGAUGGAGGAAAGACGGCGAAAGUACAAGGAAAGAAUCGCUCCUCGACACUUACAGUGCAGUCACAUCCACCUGCUAUCAUCUGUGUGGGAGAUGCUCACGAUCUGUUCGGGGAAAUGCCGAGACGGUUCAUGUCCUCCUACCUCGUCUCUUGUGCUUUAACACAUCUCCAGGGUUCGACGGGUCGAACCAGAUCGAGCGACAAACCCAGCAGGUUUACACCAUGUUCAGUCUGGUGCAGAUGAUAUUGAGUAGCUGCUCGAAAACCCGGAUCUGUUCUGACCUGCACGUGGCCUGUACUGACACUGACAGACGUCUUAUCCAAUAUAUACAAUAUUUUCUGUACAUACGGACUUGAAAAGAAAAUAAAAAAAAAUAUUGUCUUUGUUAA